rnacentral:rRNA from 1 species
UACGAAGGGGGCUAGCGUUGUUCGGCCUUCCUUUUCUUCCCUCUCUCUCAUUCUUUCUUCCAAUUCAUUUGUGAAAGCCCGGAGCUCAACUCCGGAACUGCCAUUGAAACUGUAAGACUUGAGGAUGAGAGAGGUGAGCGGAAUUCCCAGUGUAGAGGUGAAAUUCGUAGAUAUUGGGAAGAACACCGGUGGCGAAGGCGGCUCACUGGCUCAUAUCUGACGCUCAGGCGCGACAGCGUGGGGAUCAAACAGG